rnacentral:tRNA from 1 species
GCCGAGGUGGUGAAAUUGGUAGACACGCUAGUCUUAGGAACUAGUGCCUCGUGCGUGCGAGUUCGAGUCUCGCCCUCGGCA